GUGCUCGCUUCAGUAGCACAUAUACCGAAACUGGAACAAUACAGACAUGAUCGGCAUGGCCCCUGCGCAAGAACAACAUGAAACAUCUUGAAGCACUCCAUAGUUUA